rnacentral:rRNA from 1 species
GGCGGAGGGAGCAAGCGUUGCUCGGAAUCAUUGGGCGUAAAGGGUGCGUAGGCGGCGGGGAAAGUCUGAUGUGAAAUCCUGGGGCUCAACCCUGGAACUGCAUUGGAUACUUCCUUGCUAGAGUACUGGAGAGGAAACUGGAAUUUACGGUGUAGCAGUGAAAUGCGUAGAGAUCGUAAGGAAGACCAGUGGCGAAGGCGAGUUUCUGGACAGUUACUGACGCUGAGGCACGAAGGCCAGGGGAGCAAACGGG